CCCACCUGAGGGGGAGACCAGUCCUUCUAACAUUGAUAGCUUCUCUGUGAAUGCUAAUAAUGUCAAGCCAGAAUCGAAGGAUGAUGAGAGGUCAUCUGCUGAUAGAGAAGAAAAUCCUGAUAUUUGAGAAGAUCGGAAGAAUGAAAGAAGUAAUCUGCCUAUGGACAAAAAUAUUGAGAAGACUGGAUAUCUAGGAUUUAAGCCCUUUGCUACAUUUGAAAGCACAGAGACAUGUUCGAGAAGAAAAUGAUAGCGCAGAGGGGACAACUAAGCCAGUGCAGAGAGAGGCUCUCCGUUAUCCUAGAGCAUCUUCUUAUACUUGGGUUGUUUUGCGAUGUCUAGUCACAUUUUGAUCACAGUUGCUGAAGAAUGCAUGAGCUUUGGCUGUUACUUGGAAUCAUGUAUAUUUCAUUAGAGAUGAGAAUGAUAUACAACUAGAGAGGGGGAGAGAGUUAGUGAAUUUUUGUAGCAGUGUAGAAUAUGAGUUGGGCAAUUAUUCCUAUAUUAGUGAGCUGGGAAAUUCUCAUUAAAAAUAUGUUACUUGCAACUCCCUUUUUCAAAUAAAACACAUAGAAAGUAUACUUUGAUUCUAA